rnacentral:rRNA from 1 species
CACGUAGGGGGCAAGCGUUGGUCCGGAUUUAUUGGGCGUAAAGAGCUCGUAGGCGGUUUCGUAAGUCGGAUGUGAAAACUCCAGCUCAACUUGGAGACGCCAUUCGAUACUGCGAUGACUUGAGUCCGGUAGGGGAGUGUGGGAAUUCCUGGUGUAGCGGUGAAAUGCGCAGAUAUCAGGAGGAACACCCGUGGCGAAAGCGGCUCUCUGGGACGGUACUGACGCUGAGACGCGAAAGCGUGGGGAGCAAACAGG